UCUUUUAUGCUCUUGGUUCAUUUAUUUACUCAUUACAUCAUUGAAUAUAUGUUUAUAGGCAUUUUUCCAUUUAACAUAUACUAUGGAGAAACAAUGGUGAGUCUAUGUUUAUGGAUGCUGUAGUAUAGUGGUGACUGGCAUUAGUCCAUAAAUCACACGAAUGGAAAAGUACAGUGGUAAUCAAAGUGAGUGACUGAUAGUAGACUUAUGUGGCACCAGGAGAGAUUAUGAAAGCGAGGUUUAACUUAUCCCAGAGCGCCAGAAGAGAACUCUGUGAGGUGGCCACUACGGAGCAAAGAACUGACGGAACCGAAUGAAACCCAGGACCUUCAUUUAAAACUACACCUCCUGCCUUUGUGUGCCUGCCCCGCCCUGCAUUUAUAUUAAGAUGACUGACCUUCAUGUAAUACAUCAAGAACAACUUCCUUCUUCUUCCCUAAGAAAGCCUGGCAGGAAGAAGAGUGCAAAAACUGACUCUUUCAAAAGACACUGGUCUUCACAAGGACGUAGACUCUUCAUGAUUCUCUUUUAGGGCUCCAAUAAAAACUUCCUCCUUUUAAUCCCAUCGUCUAGGAGUGGUGAGAGCUUAAUAACUGAAAGUUUCAGAUUUGUCAUG